UGAGAUAGAAGAAAUCUUUGUUUUCUGAGUUGCUCAUGCGCAAUUGCAUAAAGCUUUCUACUAGCGCAAAGUAUACUUUAGGCAAUAUUCGUUUAGUAUGAGAAACUUCGCUGGCUUCAGGAUUCAUUUCGUAUUCGCCACGUUCGCACUCAUUCUUUCCCUAACACAAAACGGGGGACCUUCAGUGGCUGUAGCACUUCCAAGUACCGAAAUUGUCGCAAGUGCCAUAUUGCUAGCUGAUAGGAAUGUAUAUCCUUCAGAUAAGGGACCGCGUCACCACGCACUUAGAGGGCCUUACUAUCAAGACUAUAUGAAAGUACCCAAGCGGCGCAAGAAAAAUAGGUCACCAAACGGACCAAUCCCGCAACCACCAAGAAGACCGCCACACAGAAGGCUUGGCGCGUAAUGCCAAAACAAAUAUUGCACUUCAAAUACAAGUUUUCUCUAGGAGCUGAUUUUACCAAGAGGAGGAAUCAAAGCUGCUCUGAUAAAAACAGGGGUGGGGCGAAGAACUCAAAUAUGCCAACCAUGAUGUUAUUUUUAUGAUUUAUAAGCCAUAUUUCGAAUAAAGCAGGCUUUGUUUGUCUGGUCGA